rnacentral:sRNA from 1 species
UUGCUGUGGGACAACUGUCCAUGACGUGC